GCAGAUGAUAAUCAGCAUUCUGGAGAUCAACGUAAUGGUAUUUUAUGGGGUUUGUCUUUUGGAGCAGCUUCAGCAAUAGCUUUGAAAACCAUUAGUGCUUUAUUUCCUCAACGAACUACUGAAGAUAAUACAGAGAAAGUUACUCAAGUUAUUAUACCUGCUAUUACUAUUAAUAUACCUCAAAAUUUAAGCAAUCAAGUGAAACUCCAGCAUAAUGUGUCUGCAAAUCCUUCUGUCACUAUUAAUACGCCGCUCAAUUUAACCGAUCAAGUGACACUCCAUCACAAUGCCUCGGCAAAUCAAAUUACUUCUCAACCCAAGCCUAAGGCUGUAGGUCAUCCUGUGUCAUGUGAGCAAUUGAUAGGCGGUUUAUUAAAUGAUUGCAAAGGACACCACAGCAAUCAAUGUGACUCCUAUUCUAAGAUAUAUAAGCAAUUUUGCUCUGGAUCAGGUAUUUUUCAU